rnacentral:rRNA from 1 species
UGGGGAAUAUUGGACAAUGGGCGCAAGCCUGAUCCAGCAAUGCCGCGUGGGUGAAGACGGCCUGCGGGUUGUAAAGCCCUUUAGGUGGGGAAGAAGGGUGCCGGGUGAACAGCCGGGUGCUUUGACAUUACCCACGGAAUAAGCACCGGCUAACUCCGUGCCAGCAGCCGCGGUAAUACGGAGGGUGCGAGCGUUAAUCGGAAUGACUGGGCGUAAAGCGUGCGUAGGUGGUGGUAUUAGUCAGCCGUGAAAGCCCUGGGCUUAACCUGGGAAUGGCGGUUGAAACGGUGCUACUAGAGUGGGUUAGAGGGCUGUGGAACUCCUGGUGUAGCGGUGAAAUGCGUAGAGAUCAGGAAGAACACCGAUGGCGAAGGCAGCGGCCUGGGGCCACACUGACGCU